GACCGCUCCCAUACUAAUGGAAGUUUUUCGCGCAACAACCGCCUAUGGAAAUCGAUCCUUCAAAUUUAUUAAUCAUUCAUUACAAUAGGUAGAACUGAGGGACAACGUGAGUACUGCUCAUUAACAAAUCAUUCGUAAAUGAAAGGAGAAAAUCGUCUUUGCACUCUGAUGUAGGCAAACUGUAAGGCAUCUCUAUCACGGGAAGCGUAAAUCUGGCAAACGGGGAACCGCAAAAGAAGAGAUUCCUGAAUAUCGCUGGUCAUACUGGAUGUCACCUGAAAGCCAUUCGACAGUUGAUGGUAAAAUAUGCAACACUUCAAUGGCUGAUGUUUCACCAGAAAUGGACAUAUCGCGUGCGUCGGAAACGUUUGCGAUUACCAGCAAUUCGCGGCAGUUUACUUGAUUCAACUUGGUGCCUAAUAUAUCUAGCCUGGCAGCGAUGAAACAGAAAAGGAUAACAAUCAUUACGUUGAUUACGAAGAUGAGUGCUGCCUGCAAAAUGCAGUA